GACAGAGGUGCCAAGCGUUAGGCGGAAUCACUGGGCUUAAAGCGUGUGUAGGCGGUUCGUUAAGUACCUUGUGAAAUCCCACGGCUCAACCGUGGAACUGCUGGGUAUACUGGCGAUCUUGAGCCACCUAGGGGCGAGCGGAACAAGCGGUGGAGCGGUGAAAUGCGUAGAUAUCGCUUGGAACGCCAAUGGUGAAAACAGCUCGCUGGGGGUGUGCUGACGCUGAGACACGAAAGCCAGGGGAGCGAACGGG
rnacentral:rRNA from 1 species